rnacentral:ncRNA from 1 species
AGGUACUCCCAAGUCUCGCCACGGAUGGCGGCGAUAGGGAUAACGGCUGGUUGGCACAGCCAGCGGUUCGCCUGUUCGACCGUAGUGAGGGCGUUUUCGCCCCACGAGAACAGUUGUGAACCGCGAACCGUAAUAUCCCAACUCAGCGGUGGGGGUGCCGUGGGAUUCCCGCGUCUUCAGGCGCGGGA